rnacentral:hammerhead_ribozyme from 1 species
AUUUAGCUGACGAGUACCCAAUAGGACGAAAUGCGCAUCCUGGUAGAU